AAUCAAUGGGUUGCAGGUUCGAGCCGAGCGAAGCGAGACAACAACGCGACAGCGUUGGCCCGAAGGCCAUCUAUACCCGUGUAAAAUC
rnacentral:sRNA from 1 species